rnacentral:rRNA from 1 species
AUUGAACGCUGGCGGCAUGCCUUACACAUGCAAGUCGAACGGUAACAGGUCUUCGGAUGCUGACGAGUGGCGAACGGGUGAGUAAUACAUCGGAACGUGCCCGAUCGUGGGGGAUAACGGAGCGAAAGCUUUGCUAAUACCGCAUACGAUCUACGGAUGAAAGCAGGGGACCGCAAGGCCUUGCGCGGACGGAGCGGCCGAUGGCAGAUUAGGUAGUUGGUGGGAUAAAAGCUUACCAAGCCGACGAUCUGUAGCUGGUCUGAGAGGACGACCAGCCACACUGGGACUGAGACACGGCCCAGACUCCUACGGGAGGCAGCAGUGGGGAAUUUUGGACAAUGGGCGAAGGCCUGAUCCAGCCAUGCCGCGUGCAGGAUGAAGGCCUUCGGGUUGUAAACUGCUUUUGUACGGAACGAAAAGACUCUUUCUAAUAAAGAGGGUCCAUGACGGUACCGUAAGAGUAAGCACCGGCUAACUACGUGCCAGCCGCCGCCGUAAUAC